UACGGAGGGGGCUAGCGUUGUUCGGAAUUACUGGGCGUAAAGCGCGCGUAGGCGGACCUGCAAGUCGGGUGUGAAAGCCCUCAGCUCAACUGAGGAAGUGCGCCCGAAACUGCAGAGCUUGAGUACCGGAGAGGGUGGCGGAAUUCCCCAAGUAGAGGUGAAAUUCGUAGAUAUGGGGAGGAACACCGGUGGCGAAGGCGGCCACCUGGACGGUUACUGGACGCUGAGACGCGAAAGCGUGGGGAGCAAACAGG
rnacentral:rRNA from 1 species